rnacentral:rRNA from 1 species
AUUGAACGCUGGCGGCAGGCUUAACACAUGCAAGUCGAGCGGGGGAGGUUGCUUCGGUAACUGACCUAGCGGCGGACGGGUGAGUAAUGCUUAGGAAUCUGCCUAUUAGUGGGGGACAACAUUCCGAAAGGAAUGCUAAUACCGCAUACGCCCUACGGGGGAAAGCAGGGGAUCUUCGGACCUUGCGCUAAUAGAUGAGCGUAAGUCGGAUUAGCUAGUUGGUGGGGUAAAGGCCUACCAAGGCGACGAUCUGUAGCGGGUCUGAGAGGAUGAUCCGCCACACUGGGACUGAGACACGGCCCAGACUCCUACGGGAGGCAGCAGUGGGGAAUAUUGGACAAUGGGCGGAAGCCUGAUCCAGCCAUGCCGCGUGUGUGAAGAAGGCCUUUUGGUUGUAAAGCACUUUAAGCGAGGAGGAGGCUCUUAAGGUUAAUACCCUUGAUGAGUGGACGUUACUCGCAGAAUAAGCACCGGCUAACUCUGUGCCAGCCGCCGCAGUAA